GAGCGAAGCAGCAGUAUUGCAGCUGCUUUUCUAGGCGUGAAAAUGCAGGAGUAAUACGUGCACUUGCGUCGGAAUGGAAAGGUGAGGAUAGUGCCACAUACAUAAAGCAGAGGGUGAAGAGGUUGAGACAAACAGAGUAGCAGAGCAUUAUAUAGAGUUCCAAGAACGUCUGCCAGCCAGGGCAAGUAGCUGUUUUAUAUGCUGCGAAGUGGUGGGAACAGCAGCAGCACUCAUGACUGCCCUCACCAGCACUAACAGAAUCAGCCAGAGGCUGGCUGAAAUUAUACACAUGUGGAAUGUUGAAACAAAGGAAAGGAAUGCUCUGUUAAGUGUGCUGUUCACAAAUUAAUGAGUUACAUGGAUGUCGGCCAAGCAAGUGCUACGUGUGCGGAGGAGCAGUUGGUGCAACAGGCUCACCCCUGAUGGCCUGUACUGGAACCACAAAAAUGCGACUAUAUCAGAGACUGGCAAAAAUAGACAUUCUGGACAUCGCCAUAGAGCAAGCCGGAAUGCUGUGCCUAGUGUGCUGAGCCAGUAUUAAUAAAAUGCAUGAGCACGAAACCCGG